AACGAACGCUGGCGGCGUGCUUAACACAUGCCAGUCGAACGGAAAGGCCCUGCUUUUGUGGGGUGCUCGAGUGGCGAACGGGUGAGUAACACGUGAGUAACCUGCCCUUGACUUUGGGAUAACUUCAGGAAACUGGGGCUAAUACCGGAUAGGAGCUCCUGCUGCAUGGUGGGGGUUGGAAAGUUUCGGCGGUUGGGGAUGGACUCGCGGCUUAUCAGCUUGUUGGUGGGGUAGUGGCUUACCAAGGCUUUGACGGGUAGCCGGCCUGAGAGGGUGACCGGCCACAUUGGGACUGAGAUACGGACCAGACUCCUACGGGAGGCAGCAGGGGGGAAUAUUGCACAAUGGGCGGAAGCCUGAUGCAGCAACGCCGCGUGCGGGAUGACGGCCUUCGGGUUGUAAACCGCUUUCGCCUGUGACGAAGCGUGAGUGACGGUAAUGGGUAAAGAAGCACCGGCUAACUACGUG
rnacentral:rRNA from 1 species